UAUAAGAGAAAGAAAAGGAAAAAAAAAGGAGAAUUAAGAAAGGAGCGUUACUGUUGAUAUCCAUCGGAAGAUCGUAGCCGACAAUCCCACCAUCGUAUCACAACAACUCCGCCGUGAGAUCGAGUAUACUCUCAAUUGAAAUCCACACUCGCGCAAUGGUGAUUACUGAAAUCCAAAUUCAACGAGAUCGGAAGAGAAAAGAGGAAUAGAUUUUGUUUUCUCUUUUUAGGUUUUGUUUACUGAAGAAAGAGUAAGAAGAAGAACAGAGAAUUCUUAUUUCUCAAGAAAGAAGUAGAAGAAGAACAGAGAAUUCUUAUUCCUUCAAAUACACAACCAGUUUUAUGGUUAGAGCCGUCACAAUAAGCUGCAGAUUCUAUAACCAAUGCUGAUGAAUGCUUUAUGAUUAGAACCAUCACAAUAUAUCAUGUCUAACGACGGACUACCCCAUUCAUCUUCAAUCUUGACUGUGACCACUAAAUCUACUACAACUCCAUGGCUUUCAGAUCCUCUUUACACAGAAAUAGACUCUGCUUUAGAGCGCUCUGGCUCUGCAUCUUAAUUCCUAAAAUAAAGAGGG